CCAUUUAUGUUGUUUGUCUGGUGGGCUCUUGCACUGAAAUUUCAGAGAUGGCCCAAUCUUAUUUUAUGGUUUGUAUCAGGUGAUACACGAGCUAUGCUCCUCCUCCCUGGCUCUCCGUCUUCUAGCAACUCAAAUCACCACCUCUGUAAUGUCAUCGGUAACUUCCUGCUGUGGCGCAUCAGGGGAUGGAUUCGCCAAUCGUCGUCUGACUGAUCUAGGCUUUGGUCCUCUCAGAUAUUUUUUAUCAUAUUUCCAGAAGAUUAAACGAGAUCUCCAAACGUGGGCAGCCAUGGCAAGCACCAAAGUCCAGUGGAUUAUGAUCCAACUAAUUGUUUCUUCAAAGUAAAGCUCGGACCCAAAUUUGGCUAUGUGAACACAAAGAUCUGGGCACAAAAGAAAUAUUAAUUGUUCAAGAGUUCCUGGUGUUCUCUUUGUGCUUAUGGACUCUUAUGUUGAUCUAGAGUACAAAAAAUAGAGAGCUAAAAACUCUAGCAUUUUCGUGGAUUUGGAUGUCAUUUGCAAAUAUAGAUCGAUCAUCAAUAAUUGGAGAUGCAAUCUAUUAUCUCAACGAACUUUUACAAAGGAUCAAUGAUCUUCACAACGAACUUGAGUCAACUCCACUUGGAUUUUUGCCUCAAGGUUCAACAAGCUUCCAUCCAUUAACACCUACACCUGAUACUCUAUCUUGCCGUGUGAAGAAAGAGUUAUGUCCCUCAUCUUAGCCAAGCCCUAAAGGCCAACAAGCAAGAGUAAAGCGUUGAGGUUAGAUAAGGGAAAGAAGAACAGUGAAAAUUCGCGUGAUUUGUUGUCAUAGACCUUGUCAUUUGCUAGCAACCGUGAAAACCUGAAUAAUCUUGGAUUUGGAUGUUCAGCAAGCGGUGAUUAGCUGUUCAAACUGGUUUUCCACGCUGAGGUUUCUAAUCAUUGAAAAAAAUCCAAGCGCCAUUGAAGUCAAAUUGUCUUCUUGGAGGCUACGAUCCUCGCCAUAGAGAGCCUUCUUACAGUGUAAAUGCUGUUCAAAACCCGUCGAGCAGAAGAUCCAGACCACAAAUCUAACAAGGCCGUAAAGCCAGACCAACCUCCACCAUUUGUCAAGGAAUUUGUGUCUAGAAAGAGGAGAGAAGCCAGCAACAAAGGAAGAAGAAGAAUAAGAAUAAGAGAAGCUAUCUAAGUUAACCAAAGAAAAAGAAGUUGAUUAAGAAAGAAGAGGAGAAGAGAAAACAAAAGACUAUGCAGAGAUGAAGUAGCAGCAUCAGUUGGAGGAGGAGAUAGCAAAAGCGAAAGAGGCAAAAGAGAGGAAGAAGAAGAGAGAAGAAAAGGAGAAGUCACCUAUUAACGCUCAGAAUGAAGCUAAAAAAUAAGAGAAGGUAAAUUUUCCUUUUUCACAAUAAAUUGAAGUCUUUCUCGCAAGUAUGUUCAUGUUGGGACAAAGGAAGAUUGAAAGACUCCAAGCAUGUCAUUGAUCUGAUGAAAAAACUCUAUUGUUCAACGGUGAAGGUACUGUGAAGAAGUCAUAUAUGGACUAAAGGGAACGAACCAGUUCUUUUCAUCUUAUUUUGUUUUAUUUUUUUCCUGAUUUUUGAUUUGUGUUCUUUUUUCUUGAGUUCCUUUGAUAAUUCUUGAUAGUGUAUUACAUAGAUUUGAUAGUGAUAUAAAAAAUGUAAUGGGGUUUAGUAUCCAUUAUCUUCUUUUGUUUUCUAUCAUCA